AUGCGGUCUGCGGCGAGUCCCGGCGGCGGAAGGAGGAUGUCCCCGGGUGAAGAGGCUCUGCGGUCGUUGAAGAGGCCGCGCCACCCCGUGGAUCCCGGCUCCGGCUCGGACUCCGGCUCCAGCUCCGGCUCGGAAUCCGACGGCGAUUUCGUCAGUGACUUGAGGCAGAUCGCGUGCCUGCUGCGGUUGAUCAAGGGUGGGAACAAGGAUCGCCAGAAGAUGUGCGAGCAGAUCAUCGCCAGUGUUGCAGCCAAUAUUCAGACUAUGCUUGAAGAUACCAAGUCCAAGUUUGAGAAGGAAAGGCAGAACUUGCUGAAAGUAUUGUCAGGCACUUCGAAAGAGCAGUGUGAAAGUUCAUUGAACGAAGAGUACACUAAGCUUCAGGAAACAUAUGAAAUGUUCUGUGAAGAAAAUGAUGCACACUUACAAACCUUCAAAGACCUAUUCUCACAAGUAGAAGUUGAGAAAAAGAAACUGCUUGAGCAGUAUCAAUAUCAGAGGGAGGAGACGGCUACAUUGUCUGAACUUGGUGACACCUUCUCAGAGAAGAUAACAAAUGCCAAACCAUCACCGAAAAGGAUGAAGCAGGAUGACAAGUCUUUCAUCAUCUUCCGCAAGUCGAUUGGUUCAUAUCUCGAGUGCGCAUCCGACGAUGAUUUUGACCUUGAUGAUGGGUGA
rnacentral:rRNA from 1 species